AGCUUUGUGCAGUGGUUGUAUCAUAGCUAAUGAGGAUAAUCUGAGGUGUGAUUGUUGCUAGUUGAAAACUUUUCCCAAUACCCCACCAUAUUAAUUUGAAAUAUAGUUAACACUGGUAAUUUUUGGCAGUCUCAUGUGAGA
rfam:Chelonia mydas contig200145, whole genome shotgun sequence.